UUACAACUCUUGAAAUGACUCAUGGGAAGGUCAAAGGUUCAUUUUGAAGCUAUAUAAAGUUAUGCAUGUUCUAAAUGUAAAAGGAGAGA